GUUGUGUUUGAAACCUAUAUUAAAAUUGGAACGAUACAGAAUGUUAAUUAGCACAGUCCCUGCGCAAAGAUGGCAUACAAAUUCGUGAAGCAUUUUUUUUUUUU